GGAUGUGAGGGCGAUCUGGCUGCGACAUCUGUCACCCCAUUGAUCGCCAGGGUUGAUUCGGCUGAUCUGGCUGGCUAGGCGGGUGUCCCCUUCCUCCCUCACCGCUCCAUGUGCGUCCCUCCCGAAGCUGCACGCUUGGUCGAAGAGGACGACCAUCUCCGAUAGAGGAGGACCGGUCUUCAGUCAAGGGUAUACGAGUAGCUGUGCUCCCCGGCUAGAACCUCCAAACAAGCUCUCAAGGACCACAGACACAGCGCAGACAGGACCACAGACACAGCGCAGACAG
rfam:Dipodomys ordii contig_11156, whole genome shotgun sequence.